GCUGGACUGGUGGCAUGUGCCUACAAUCCCAGCUACUUAGGAGGUUGAAGCAGGAGGAUUGCUUGAGUUCAGGAGUUUAGGGCUGUAGUCCACUAUGCUGAUUGGGUGACCUCACUAAGUUCAGCAUCAAUAUAGUGAUUCCCUGGGAGUUGGGAGCCACCAGGUUUCCCAAAGAGGGGUGAACCAGCCUAGGUUGGAAAUGGAGCAGGUCAAAACUCCUAUGCUGAUUAGUAGUGACAUCAUGCCUGUGAAUAGCUACUGCACUCAAGCCUGGGCAACAUAGUAAAAUCCCAUCU
ensembl:misc_RNA Metazoa_SRP Metazoan signal recognition particle RNA